CCUUCGAUAGCUCAGUUGGUAGAGCGGUGGACUGUAGAAACUGUUGAAGUGUGGGUUUGGUUGGGGCGGGAGGUUCCUUCAAAUAGUAAAAUGCACUUAAAAAUUGCAUUUCACCCUCACCCCCAGAACCCACUGCUUUCAAACAAUAGAAAUCCAUAGGUCACUGGUUCAAAUCCGGUUCGAAGGA
rnacentral:tRNA from 1 species